rnacentral:rRNA from 1 species
AGCUACGGCCAUACGUUCAUGAAAAUACCCGCUCUCGUCCGAUCGCGGAAGUCAAGCAUGAAACGGUCCAGUCAGUACUGCGGUGGGAGACCACGCGGGAAUACUGGAUGUUGUAGUUU